GCAGCCAGCGGGGCCCGGGAGCCGCCGCCGUCUCGAUGGGGGAGGAGACUACUAAGCGCCCUGGGAUGAUGGGACCAUUGCCAGUUCUCUGGAGAAUGUGAUCUCAAGACCUGCAGGGCCUGGCAGAGGGAGGAAUUGCCUUUAUGGAUCAGUAAGACAGAAGCUCAUCUUAGCCAUUAGAGUCUCACCUCUAAGGUUUGAACAAAGUUGGAGAAGAGUACAUCACAGGGAGGCUGCAUUUUGAUUGCUCUGACCCCAGCCUGAAGAGUCCUGUUUACAGGUGCUGAAGGAAUCUUCUAGAUCUUCUAGAGCGUGGGAAGGCUGAAUGGGCUCAACAUGAAGAGCCUGAAAGCGAAGUUCAGGAAGAGUGAC
rnacentral:lncRNA from 1 species